rnacentral:rRNA from 1 species
GUCGAACGGUAACAGGAAACAGCUUGCUGUUUCGCUGACGAGUGGCGGACGGGUGAGUAAUGUCUGGGAAACUGCCUGAUGGAGGGGGAUAACUACUGGAAACGGUAGCUAAUACCGCAUAACGUCGCAAGACCAAAGAGGGGGACCUUCGGGCCUCUUGCCAUCGGAUGUGCCCAGAUGGGAUUAGCUAGUAGGUGGGGUAACGGCUCACCUAGGCGACGAUCCCUAGCUGGUCUGAGAGGAUGACCAGCCACACUGGAACUGAGACACGGUCCAGACUCCUACGGGAGGCAGCAGUGGGGAAUAUUGCACAAUGGGCGCAAGCCUGAUGCAGCCAUGCCGCGUGUAUGAAGAAGGCCUUCGGGUUGUAAAGUACUUUCAGCGGGGAUGAAGGGAGUAAAGUUAAUACCUUUGCUCAUUGACGUUACCCGCAGAAGAAGCACCGGCUAACUCCGUGCCAGCAGCCGCGGUAAUACGGAGGGUGCAAGCGUUAAUCGGAAUUACUGGGCGUAAAGCGCACGCAGGCGGUUUGUUAAGUCAGAUGUGAAAUCCCCGGGCUCAACCUGGGAACUGCAUCUGAUACUGGCAAGCUUGAGUCUCGUAGAGGGGGGUAGAAUUCCAGGUGUAGCGGUGAAAUGCGUAGAGAUCUGGAGGAAUACCGGUGGCGAAGGCGGCCCCCUGGACGAAGACUGACGCUCAGGUGCGAAAGCGUGGGGAGCAAACAGGAUUAGA